UCCGAGUUGACCCCGGCAGUCUCCUAUGAGUCCCCGCCAUAACGCGCUGGCAACAUAGAACGAGGGUUGCGCUCGUUGCGGGACUUAACCCAACAUCUCACGACACGAGCUGACGACAACCAUGCACCACCUGUACAGGACCCUUGCGGACCCCCCAUCUCUGGAGGAUUUCCCUGUAUGUCAAGCCUUGGUAAGGUUCUGCGCGUUGCGUCGAAUUAAACCACACGCUCCGCUGCUUGUGCGGGCCCCCGUCAAUUCCUUUGAGUUUUAAGCUUGCGCUCGUAGUCCCCAGGCGGCACACUCAUCAGGUACCCUUGGGCACGGAGGAAGGUGGGGAUGACGUACCAAGGUUGGUU
rnacentral:misc_RNA from 1 species